UGUGUCCUGCAGGACAGAGGGACAUCGGAGAGAAAUGUUUACUUUAUGUUUUUUUUUCUUCUUCUGUAUUUAACAUCCCCACAACACCCGCUGUACACAAACGGCCUGCAUUCCCCGGAGCGAGGGUGGAAGUACCAGAGAAGAACAUAUUCCGAACAGGCCCCCUCGGACAUUGGCUCCAGGCAGCGGUCUUCUGCUGACGUCGCACGUGAGGGGAAAGAUGAAAAGAUAAACCAACAAACCUGAGAUGCCGUAAAUUCACCGUUCCGGAUUUAUGCGGCAAAGAAUUGGUCCUCUGACCCCUUGGGGUCCUGGAGAUGCUGGUGGUCCCUUAUCUCCAACUCUUCCUGUAUUCCCUGGAGACCCUUUAAACCCUGGAAAACCUGGAAAGCCGGCUUCACCCUACAAUGAAGUGCAUUGGCCCGGAGCACCAUCAACACCGUUGAUGCCUCCCUGUCCCUUAUCGCCCUGAAGGGAAAUCACAUGAUGAGCCUGGACUCCCAGUGCGUCCAGGCAGACCUCUGAAACCCUUUAAAUGCAUAUAAAAGAAAGGACAGGAUAGUGACACCGUGACGUGGCGCGUGGGUAAACAAAACGGUUCAUGGAACAACUGUGACGGAUAACAACCACGCCACCUUUUCUCCCUUCUCCCCUCGGUCUCCCGACUGGAUUGUCCUGUAGCCCUACCAUCACGCCAUCAAGUCCUGGCUCUCCUGGAUCUCCCUGUCGGAGAAGAAGAAUAUUUCACCCACGGUACGAACACAGGUGAAUGGUUAAACUUGUGUUUUAGCAGUGGGAAGCUAUUAAAAUGAAACAUUAUUUACCUUCUGGCCAACUGGUCCUCGUACUCCAAAGCGCCCCAAUGCCCCCUUAGUCCCUGCAUCGCCUUUUAUGCCCUUAAAAAACAUUAAUGCUUUCUAUCAUUCUGAGUUUGUUUGCAGGGACAUUUAUUAUAACUGAUAAUGUGAGAUGUGAUGAUGAACAGUAUAACAUCACUAUUGUGAAUAACAUUUCCAUGCAUUUGGAAUUUCUCUUUCCCAUAGCGGUUUUCAUUACCUUGACUCCAGGAGGACCAUCCUCGCCCUUUUCUCCUUUAUCGCCAUCAAAACCUGGUGCGCCUCGCUCACCCUGAAACAAAGCAUCUACUCAAUUAUUCAUAGUUAUUUUCAUUUGAACUUUGUGAGCGCUUGAGCUUUCUUUGUUGUCAUUGCUUUUUUUCUCCUUCUGUCAUUUUUAGUGUAAAUGUCUGUCAACCUGGGGAGGCAAAAGAAGUUUGAUGGCCCUUGUAAGAGAAAAUAAAUUUGAUUUGAGUUGUGUUAAUAUAUAAUAUCUCACAGGAACUCCUUUGGAACCUUUAGAUCCACGGGGUCCUUGGAUUUGAAGCAUACUCCCCUGUAGGAAGGAAACAAAUUGUGAAUAUUAGCUGUGAGUUCCUGUGGAUGUACUUUAUACAUACAUACAUACAUAAAAGAAGCAAUUAAUACCAAUGAUUCUUGUCUGUAAGAUAUUUUUUGACCGAACUUUAAAAAAAAUAUAUUUUUUCACCCUAUAUUUUUUUAACUUUUAUUUCCAAACAUCUAUUCUACCUAAUAUUUCAGGACUUUAUUACUUUUUUUCUUACC